CAGAUGAUGAAGGUAGAGGAACAGAUGAUGAAGAUGAAGGUAGAGGAACAGAGGAUGAAGAUGAAAGUAGAUGAACAGUGGAUGAAGAGGAAAGUAGAGGGACAUAUGAUGAAGGUAUAGGAAGAGAUGAUGAAGAUGAAGGUAGAGGAACAGAGGAUGUAGAUGAAAGUAGAGGAACUGAGGAUGAAGAUGAAGGUAGAGGAAAAGAGGAUGAAGAUGAAGGUAGAGGAACAGAUGAUUAAGAUGAAGGUAGAGGGACAGACGAUGAAGGUAGAGGAAUAGAUGAUGAAGAUAAAGG